rnacentral:rRNA from 1 species
AUUGAACGCUGGCGGCAUGCCUAACACAUGCAAGUCGGGCGAGCGGCGGACGGGUGAGUAACGUAUGGGGACAUACCGGGUAGAGGGGGAUAACUAUUGGAAAGGAUAGCUAAUACCGCAUAAUAUCGGAGCAACCGAUGUGGGAUUAGCUGGUAGGCGGGGUAAAGGCUCACCUAGGCGACGAUCCCUAGCUGGUCUGAGAGGAUGACCAGCCACACUGGAACUGAGACACGGUCCAGACUCCUACGGGAGGCAGCAGUGGGGAAUAUUGCACAAUGGGCGCAAGCCUGAUGCAGCCAUGCCGCGUGUGUGAAGAAGGCCUUCGGGUUGUAAAGCACUUUCAGCGGGGAGGCGUUACCCGCAGAAGAAGCACCGGCUAACUCCGUGCCAGCAGCCGCGGUAAUAC